rnacentral:rRNA from 1 species
GCUGAAACACCGGUUCUCGUACGAUCGCCGAAGUUAAGCAGCGUAGAGCCAGGUCAGUACUUAGAUGGGGGACCGCUUGGGAACACCUGGUACUGUAAG